ensembl:snRNA U6 U6 spliceosomal RNA
CUGCUUUGGCAGCACAUAUACUAAAACUGGAAUGGUACAUAGAAGAUUAGCAUGGCACCUGUGCCAGGAUGACACAAAAAUUUGUGAGGCAUUCCAUAUUUAA